GCAGGUUUCCCAUUCGAAUCAUUCGUCUGCCAAGUGUAAAGCAGUCAACAACUCUCGGACUUGAUUUCGUCAAAAUUUUCAGUGAUAAAAUGUUUUAAUAACUAAAUCCUCUUAUCCAGAUCCCAAGUUUCAGAAGAGGAUGGCAAUGCGGUCCGUUUCUCCAUAUAUGCAUGGAGCAUGGCCGAGGUCAUUGGUCUACGGAGGAUAACAAAAUACUAUCUCAAUUAGUGGUUCUCAAUUUCUGGUUUUGAAUUGUCCAACGAAUCGAUUCCUGAAUGUGGACGGUACCAGGCUCCAGGAUUGGGUCUGCAGCUUUGCGUCAAUUAUUUUCUAAACAUGUUUAACCUUUUCUAUGGAGGAUUGACGAAUUAACAAAAUAUCAUCAGUAUUAAGUGGCGUUCAAGUCGUAAUUUUCAUUUCUUCAACGAGUAGAGUCACCUUUAUGUAAACUGCUAAACUUUUUUAAUGCGGACGGUACCGGGCCCAGGAUUGGGUCUGCAGCUUUGCGUCAAUUAUUUCCUAAGACGUUAUGAAACUAGAUUUAAGGAUACACAAUGUAAUUUUAAGAAAAAACACUGCGGCAGAAAUAAAUUCAGAAUUUGGUGUCAGUGUCUGUUACACGAUUUGUCACACAAACCAUGAAGCUAGUCGAUUACCAAGAUGAAAUAAAGGAUCAUUUCUUCAA